CCUACGGGAGGCAGCAGUGAGGAAUAUUGGUCAAUGGACGAGAGUCUGAACCAGCCAAGUAGUGUGAAGGAUGACUGCCCUAUGGGUUGUAAACUUCUUUUAUAUGGGAAUAAAAUGUUCCACGUGUGGGAUUUUGUAUGUACCAUAUGAAUAAGGAUCGGCUAACUCCGUGCCAGCAGCCGCGGUAAUACGGAGGAUCCGAGCGUUAUCCGGAUUUAUUGGGUUUAAAGGGAGCGUAGGUGGAUUGGUAAGUCAGUUGUGAAAGUUUGCGGCUCAACCGUAAAAUUGCAGUUGAAACUGGCAGACUAGAGUAAAGUAGAGGUAAGCGGAAUUCGUGGUGUAGCGGUGAAAUGCUUAGAUAUCACGAAGAACUCCGAUUGCGAAGGCAGCUCACUGGACUGCAACUGACACUGAGGCUCGAAAGUGUGGGUAGCAAACAGGAUUAGAUACCCCUGUAGUC
rnacentral:rRNA from 1 species